GCCUGGGUGGCUCAGUCGGUUAAGCAUCCGACUUCAGCUCAGGUCACGAUCUCACUGUUGGUGAGUUCGAGCCCCGCCUCGGGCU
rnacentral:tRNA from 1 species